AGAAAGGAAAAAUUUGGGACGGCAGAUAAGAAGUUACAGUAGCGCGAAUGCAACCCUGAUAGGGAAAUAUGCUAGACUUGAUUAUCCAAAUAGGUCAUGGGCAGCAAAGAAAAAUUGAGUCGGGCAGUGGAUCCGAGUCGACCUUCGUAGGUACGGAUUAGUAGCAGGCCUAAUAACACAGAGAAGACCAUUAUCUGAUCAGUGGGUGACACCAUACAAGGUUCAAUGUGGAAAAACAACGAAGACCUUGAAAUUUGGUUGAGAGAAUUCGGAAGAUAAACUGUUCAAAGGAAACUGGGACCGUAGCACAAAAGUUGUGACCAAGUUCCCGCAGCCCAUGUAUUGUCGCUUUAUACGCAUUUAUCCACAAACAUGGUACAAGCACAUGAGUAUGAGAUUCGAUGUAAUUUCUAGAGUAUGUGCAGACUAUACCACCGAAGCUUA